AGAGCGAACGCUGGCGGCAGGCCUAACACAUGCAAGUCGAGCGCGUGUAGCAAUACACGAGCGGCAGACGGGAGAGUAACACGUGGGAACGCGCCCUUCGGUUCGGAAUAACUCGGGGAAACUUGAGCUAAUACCGGAUACGCCCUUACGGGGAAAGAUUUAUUGCCGAAGGAACGGCCCGCGUCCGAUUAGCUAGUUGGUGAGGUAACGGCUCACCAAGGCGACGAUCGGUAGCUGGUCUGAGAGGAUGACCAGCCUCACUGGGACUGAGACACGGCCCAGACUCCUACGGGAGGCAGCAGUGGGGAAUAUUGGACAAUGGGCGCAAGCCUGAUCCAGCCAUGCCGCGUGGAUGAUGAAGGCCUUAGGGUUGUAAAGUCCUUUUAACGGGGAAGAUAAUGACGGUACCCGUAGAAUAAGCCCCGGCUAACUUCGUGCCAGCAGCCGC
rnacentral:rRNA from 1 species